GGUGGGAACGUUGAAAGAGAUGGAAUAAUGUAGCAACUGCGUUGAUAAUUACCGUGGACGACAGUGGCUGGUGUGGCUAUGUCAGCGAAAUCUUCAGUUUCAAAUCUUGCUGACGCUCCGUGUUCCAUUAAUGACAAUGCAGUUCUGGACAGCAGGAUCCCUUGCGAUGUAGCACAUGGCAACGGUGAGGUGGUGGGUCAGGAAGCGGGGCGCACGCCCGGCGGCGACACGCCAGCGCCCCACGGGCACACACGCAUCGCAGGCACGCCUCGCGGGUCAUCACCACCGUGCCUUCAGUAAACCAUCGCCCCUCAUACAUGCAACCGUGGGGCAGCUGAAGAGGCUCUGAAGUUAUUAUUGUUAUUAAAUUAAAUAAAGUAUAAAUAUAAAGAAAAAGCGCUGUAAAAUAAAUUUCAAUUAAAAAAAAUGCGAUAAAGAUCA